AAUCAUAGAAGGAAUACAAUCGUAAGUAUUAUAUAUUACCCACAAAAGAGGAAGCACAUUUUUGUAUUAACAUCCUAAUGUAUCCAUAUUCUAAUUCUUGUGUAUGUAUUUCUUUUUAUUAUUCCUUUUAUUCCUCUUUAAUUACAACAACAAUAACAACAACAACGAUGAAAGAA
rnacentral:ribozyme from 1 species